rnacentral:rRNA from 1 species
AUUGAACGCUGGCGGCAUGCUUUACACAUGCAAGUCGAACGGCAGCGCGGGCUUCGGCCUGGCGGCGAGUGGCGAACGGGUGAGUAAUACAUCGGAACGUGCCCAGUAGUGGGGGAUAGCUCGGCGAAAGCCGGAUUAAUACCGCAUACGACCUGAGGGUGAAAGCGGGGGAUCUUCGGACCUCGCGCUCUUGGAGCGGCCGAUGGCAGAUUAGCUAGUUGGUGGGGUAAAGGCCUACCAAGGCGACGAUCUGUAGCUGGUCUGAGAGGACGACCAGCCACACUGGGACUGAGACACGGCCCAGACUCCUACGGGAGGCAGCAGUGGGGAAUUUUGGACAAUGGGCGAAAGCCUGAUCCAGCAAUGCCGCGUGUGUGAUGAAGGCCUUCGGGUUGUAAAGCACUUUUGGCGGGAACGAAAAGGACUGUGCCAAUACCACGGUUCGAUGACGGUACCCGCAGAAUAAGCACCGGCUAACUACGUG